rnacentral:rRNA from 1 species
GAGUUUGAUCGUGGCUCAGGAUGAACGCUGGCGGCGUGCCUAAUACAUGCAAGUCGAACGCUUCACUUCGGUGAAGAGUGGCGAACGGGUGAGUAAUACAUAAGUAACCUGGCAUCUACAGGGGAUAACUGAUGGAAACGUCAGCUAAGACCGCAUAGGUGUAGAGAUCGCAUGAACUCUAUAUGAAAAGUAGCUACGGGACUGGUAGAUGAUGGACUUAUGGUGCAUUAGCUGGUUGGUGGGGUAACGGCCUACCAAGGCGACGAUGCGUAGCCGACCUGAGAGGGUGACCGGCCACACUGGGACUGAGACACGGCCCAGACUCCUACGGGAGGCAGCAGUAGGGAAUUUUCGGCAAUGGGGGGAAACCCUGACCGAGCAACGCCGCGUGAAGGAAGAAGUAAUUCGUUAUGUAAACUUCUGUCAUAGAGGAAGAACGGUGGAUAUAGGGAAUGAUAUCCAAGUGACGGUACUCUAUAAGAAAGCCACGGCUAACUACGUGCCAGCCGCCGCGGUAAC